ensembl:lncRNA
AAAUCACCGAAAGUCUACAAAUGUCUCCCAAAAACGUAGGUCUUUUUUGUCACGCCCUUAACGCAUGUGUAUUUCCCAAAUCUAAAAAUAGCCUAUAAAACACAUUCAUAGACGGAUACUUUUCUGAUGUCUGGACUCUGUUUGGGAUUUAUAAAAACAUUAACAGAUGGUUUAAUAUAUUGUUAAUGAAUACAUUCUGUGAGAAUUUACAUUUCAGGUUUUGACUGCGAAUGUCAUGUCAGUAAUGCUGGAAUUGCCAAGUAAUGAAACUAAAAUGUCUCGGGACAGUUUCUUUUUGCUGUAACAGUCCAUGGUUCUGCUACUAUGGUUUUAGUAGGAUGUAGUACUACUCCUGUCCAUUAGGGACCCUAAGUUGCUCUUCUCCUCUAGCUUAAAUCCCGGUGAGGUAGUAGAGGAAAAAGAGAUCUGUUUGGUGAAGUGGAAGCAGCCGCCAUUAAAUCAAAAAGAAGAAGAAGAAGUGGAAGCAUGGUUUUCUCUUCCAGUAUUCAAUGCAGUAAAGUCAAGAUUGAGAAAUAUGUGUUUCAAGCUCAAUCAUAAUGGCACACAAGAGUGUGAACAGCUGCCCGACUCCCAGCCAGAGCCUCCUGCACACCUUCACUUCCUAGGAGGGGAGAAAAUUCCCUCAGCACUUGUGAAAAGUCGCAUGCCAGAUCAGAUGUUUGCUUAAAGUAAGAUGAUAUCGGAUAAAAGGCUGACUGCACUGGUGCCGCUUUCUCGGAUAUCACUCUCAUGUUCCCUAUUCCCUUUGAGCAGGAGAGAAUAUAUUUUAUUUUUAUUUUUUUAUUUUUAUUUUUUUAACCAAGUUUCCCCGAAGCCCCUAUUAACAUGAGGGACCAACUUAUAUCAAAAUUCAAAAGGUGCAGUUGGUGACCCCCAGCUCUCUUGACCUCAACCUGCUCCCUGAAAGCUCAGAGUUCAGAAACAGUUUUCUUUUGGCUUUGUAAUACACGGCGUGGUGUAAAUAAUUUAUUUGACACAAAUUUCCACAUCUUUCGGGGGGACAUUCCUCUCAUUGAACUCAAAACCGAGGCUUACUCAAAGCCAUUUUGGAUCUAUCGGAAUACUGCCAUUUGUUUCCCUGUAGAGUUUCUCUCAUACUAAUGUAGUUUCCUGACACAAGUGUUCAGAGUAACCCACCUCUGAGCAAUGUUCCACAAACCAGCCAACACAAACCAAAACCUGAACAUCUCAGAAUAUAGGCAACUGAGCUCAGAUCAAAAGAUAUUGAAUUUGAGCAAAGCAACACAGGAACAAUCCUGAGGACCGCUGUGUCAUAUUACAUUUGGACCCAACUAUAACGAGAUCAAGGUUUAUUGUCUUAGGUUAACAAGUGUAAGGCUUUAAACAAACUGCACCAAUGAUUUCGUGUGUGUGUAUGUUACUGGCUUUACAAAAAAAAAAUAUUUCCAAAAUUUUGCAUUUUUAUGUACCCAUGCUGCAAAUUCCAGGCAUAUUUAAAUGAAGUUGGAUGCAAAGACGCAGCAAACUUUGACAGUAAACUAGGCUUUUGACAAACAGGGGUCAUCCUCUUUUGUACUGUUUUUCUUUUUCACCUGUCCAGUAUGAAUCUCACUAACCCUGUAAAGUAGUGUUGCACAAUAUACCGGUACUAAAAAGGUAUCACGAUACCCUGCUUUUAAAAAAAGGUACGAUUCUUCAUUUUACUAGUACCAGUACUUUAAGAAUGACAGCGUUUUAAUAAGAAUCAUAUUUCCUGAGUUGCGUAGAUGUGUGACAGCAGGGCCCCAGCUAACAUAAUUUUGUUUUAAAAAUAUUCUCCAAAUAUUCAGUGUUGGUUCUGAGAACAUAAAAAAUGUCCAGUUUUCUUGACAUUUGUUGUGUAUUUACGAAAUAAACGAAAUGGUGCCUUCUGUGUUCCUAUACCC